CCGGUUGGACCCCAGCUCGGCCUGCGGCUCUCUGACCACAGAGCCGGGCUGGACUGAGGAAUGGCGAAGAGGGAGAGAAGAGUCUGGGCACCAAGUCAGCUUGCUGAGCGUCCUCGGAGCCCGACUGGACCCGGCUCUGUCCCCGCCCCUCCCAGUGACCUCGGACAGGAUCCAUCACCUCUCUAAGUCGGGUUUCCCCCCCACCUGGCGCCGGACUAAAGGGAACACCAUAGAUGCUAACGCAGAGAACAUAUCACACUGUUUUGUGCCUAUUUAUCAGUCUGUCUUUACCUCUGGACUGAGCUCUGGGAAGGCAGGGGUAGCAUUUUGUGUGUGGAUCUCCAAAACCUAGAAGAGAUUUUUGCACAGUCAAUAUGAAGCAAAUGUUUGCUGAAUACUGGCUCAAUUAACAAAGAGUGACCACUACUUUCUUUGCUUGCGUGAACUUCUAGGCACAUAUGGAAGUCUUCUAGACCUACAUGCAGAAAGCAUUCUGAAAAACAGAAGAAUGGAACUGACUUCAUGAAUAAUUUUGAAAUCUUUCAAUUACAAAAUCAGUUUUAGAACAUUUAAUAGACAUCUUCUCGUAUAAUCUUUACUUCAAAGACUUUAUCUCUUUUAUGAAACCCAUAUUUACCUUCUCAUGUGCCAAACUCAAUUCACACAAUGUUAUAGUUAGAAGCGAACUUUAAAAUUAUUCAGUCCGGUUCUUUGGUUUUGCAAGUGAAACCGAGGUUUAGUGAUAUGGAAUCUUAACUCAAGCUCAUGGGGCUAGAGAAUGCCAGAGG